rnacentral:lncRNA from 1 species
GUGGAAGUUUUAAACAAUUUGUGGUCACAUAACGGUCAACAACGUGUUUAAAUGUGAAGUGGUAUGGUCCCAAAUUUUGUACCAGGUUUGGCCGCGAGAGACCAUCACCCAGCUCGUUACCCCUAUCGACAAGGAUUUACCUUCGUUCGUGCGGGCAUUGCGCGAACCCAGUUUGCUUUCCCACUCGGGAAAUGAUGAGAAGACUUACCUUGUGUAUGAAAACGGGAGUUUUCGUCACAACAAGGGAUGCGAUAAUCACUACGGUUACCGCACAUAGGGAUGCGGCCCAAAACCGCAUCCUAUUGUCUACACAAGUGGAACUGACACUUUGACUUAAGUGACCAAGCUAGCAAGUGGUUUGUCCGGGCACUGACAGCGGUCAGCUGGCAGACGGACUGACAGCUGCAGCAAGACGUGGCAUCACCUCUGGAUGCAUCCAACGCUUCCGUGACCUGCGCUUCUAACACACCUACAAAAGGCUACGCGUUGUCAGUAUAGCCAAUUGGCUAUCCUCCUUCACUCUUCAACUAUAAAUACUUAUCCCGGACCAAGUUUGAGAUAACGCUAAUCUGUUCUCACACACAUACUACUCAAACACACACUUUGCUCUUAAGCAAAUACUGAUUCUCACGCCGGAGAGUGGUAACAAGAAGCACCCACAUCUCAUCCCUUGUUACGAGUCACGGUGUGUUUCCUUAUGCAGGAGACAUGUUAGAGGACGACCCGACCAUUGAUCGAGGAAAAAAGGGAUUAACCAUACUCGACGGGACUAGUGAAUUAACCCUCUAGUUAACCAUUGUUUCAUCAAAAUGUAUAGCAUUUUUUAACAUAACUAAUUAAUAAAAAUAAUUGUGAUAAAGGAUGGCAAGAGACAACUUAACCAAAAUCCGACUAUAAAACAAAUUAGCUGUAUUAACUUAUUUAUGACAUGAACGCAUAAGGUUCCAAUCUAACCCGUUAAUGAUAGAUAACUAGUGUUACAUUAUUAUCCUAGUUGCUAAUCCAAAGAGAUUGACAAUUUAGUGUUACAUUAUUAGGUUUAUUUAAAAAAAAAAACAUAAUAGACAUAGAAAAUAGUAUUUGAAAAGUAUCACUUGUGUAUAGAUUUGAGUGUUUUUUUUUUUUAAUAUUUUUUUGCUAAUUACACAUAUUUAAGAAAGUAUCUAUAAAAUUAUUCAUGGAACAAUAUUUUACGUCUUUAUUCAAAAUUAACUCCAAUUAGAACUUUAUAUCCAAACUUAGAGACUUAAAAAUCAACAAUUGAAGCAAGUUCUCUCACAUCGAGUUUAGCGACUUAAAAAUCAACAAUUGAAGCAAGUUCUCUCACAUCGAGUUUUAGAGAACAAAGGAGUUUAUAUUAAA